rnacentral:snoRNA from 2 species
GUGAUGAGCUAGCCCCUGUGCGACCAUGAGCGGGAUGAUUUGCGCUGA